UCCAACAGCCUCGCUCCUGCGCAAGGGUGUGCCCAAACCCUAGCCGCCCUCUUCCGAUCUCUCCCCUCUGACUCGCCAUACAUAGCUGCGGCGGCGCGCAGCCAUGGAGACUCAGUGGUGGGCGCGGCCGUGCUCGCGUGCUCGGAGCUGCAAACUGGAGGCGCCGAUGUGAACCGAGGAGGAAGAGGUCUUCCGUGUGGAUCUCAGCGACGACGUUUAGUCCCACGACUUGUUCCACCAGAUCCAGGUGCCCGGCGAUGAGGAUGAGGAGCAGCGACUUGCACCAGUAGAUCCAGAUGUCUAGGAAUGAGGAUGAGAAGCGGUGCCCUGGCAUACGGUAGAAAUCUCCAUGAAUGGUGGCUUUCUACCGUAACUUCCCCUUGGUUCCCCCUCAAAUCGAUCUUCAAUUUUUAGCCUUUCAAGUGUAUGGGACUCUUAUGCCUCCAUGUCUUCUUGCCAUUUUUUAUUCUCUCUUUUGUAUAGCGUGUACAAAAAUUGCAAGUUCUUUAUUCUUGCGGUUGGCAGACCAACUUUUUGUAGUAGUUCACUUCACACUCAAGAACCUGUAUACGGUAGAGUAUUGUGUAGUUCAUGGUGUGUGACCCCUGGUUCCCCUAUCCUAAUGGCAUUAUGUAAAACAGAUAGAAGCAACAAUUUAACCCCUGAUCUUCUUA